GACGAACGCUGGUGGCGUGCUUAACACAUGCAAGUCGAACGGUGAAGCCCAGCUUGCUGGGUGGAUCAGUGGCGAACGGGUGAGUAACACGUGAGCAACCUGCCCCCUACUUCGGGAUAAGCCUUGGAAACGAGGUCUAAUACCGGAUAUGAGCACCGACCGCAUGGUGGGUGUUGGAAGGUUUUUCGGUGGGGGAUGGG
rnacentral:rRNA from 1 species